rnacentral:rRNA from 1 species
GAUGAACGCUAGCGACAGGCCUAACACAUGCAAGUCGAGGGGCAGCACGAAGUAAGCUUGCUUACUUUGGUGGCGACCGGCGCACGGGUGCGUAACAGGUGUGCAAUCUGUCCAUAAUCGGGGAAUAGCCCAGCGAAAGUUGGAUUAAUGCUCCAUGUGAGUUUUAGAGGCAUCUCUUUAAUUUGAAACGUAAGGAUUAUGGGUGAGCACGCUUCUGAUUAGGUAGUUGGUGAGGUAACGGCUCACCAAGCCGACGAUCAGUAGGGGUUCUGAGAGGAAGGUCCCCCACAUUGGAACUGAGACAUGGUCCAAACUCCUACGGGAGGCAGCAGUGAGGAAUAUUGGUCAAAUGGGGCGAAAGCCUGAACCAGCCAAGUCGCGUGAAGGAUGAAGGUUCUAUGGAUUGUAAACUUCUUUAUUCGAGGGUAAAACAGUGACGUGUCCGCUCUUGCAAGUAUCGAAUGAAUAAGCAUCGGCUAACUCCGUGCCAG